UAAGGAAUAUUGCGCAAUGGACGAAAGUCUGACGCAGCAACGCCGCGUGCAGGAUGAAGGCCCUCUGGGUCGUAAACUGCUGUAGCAGGGGAAUAAAGGCCACCUCGGGUGGUUUGAAGGUACCCUGAAAGUAAGCGCCGGCUAACUACGUGCCAGCAGCCGCGGUAAUACGUAGGGCGCAAGCGUUGUCCGGAUUCACUGGGUGUAAAGGGUGCGCAGGCGGGCUGGCAAGUCAGCGGUGAAAUCUCACGGCUCAACCGUGAAACUGCCGUUGAUACUGCCAGUCUUGAGUUCGGGAGAGGUUGAUGGAAUUCCAGGUGUAGCGGUGAAAUGCGUAGAUAUCUGGAAGAACACCGGUGGCGAAGGCGGUCAACUGGCCCGGAACUGACGCUGAGGCACGAAAGCGUGGGGAUCAAACAGG
rnacentral:rRNA from 1 species